GAUGAACGCCGGCGGCGUGCCUAAUACAUGCAAGUCGAGCGAACAGAUGAGGAGCUUGCUCCUCUGACGUUAGCGGCGGACGGGUGAGUAACACGUGGAUAACCUACCUAUAAGACUGGGAUAACUACGGGGAACCGGAGCUAAUACCGGAUAAUAUAUUGAACCGCACGGUUCAAUAGUGAAAGACGGUUUUGCUGUCACUUAUAGAUGGAUCCGCGCCGCAUUAGCUAGUUGGUAAGGUAACGGCUUACCAAGGCAACGAUGCGUAGCCGACCUGAGAGGGUGAUCGGCCACACUGGAACUGAGACACGGUCCAGACUCCUACGGGAGGCAGCAGUAGGGAAUCUUCCGCAAUGGGCGAAAGCCUGACGGAGCAACGCCGCGUGAGUGAUGAAGGUCUUCGGAUCGUAAAACUCUGUUAUUAGGGAAGAACAAAUGUGUAAGUAACUAUGCACGUCUUGACGGUACCUAAUCAGAAAGCCACGGCUAACUACGUG
rnacentral:rRNA from 1 species